rnacentral:rRNA from 1 species
AACGAACGCUGGCGGCAGGCUUAACACAUGCAAGUCGAGCGCCCCGCAAGGGGAGCGGCAGACGGGUGAGUAACGCGUGGGAAUCUACCCAUCCCUACGGAAUAACGCAUGGAAACGUGUGCUAAUACCGUAUACGUCCUUCGGGAGAAAGAUUUAUCGGAGAUGGAUGAGCCCGCGUUGGAUUAGCUAGUUGGUGGGGUAAAGGCCUACCAAGGCGACGAUCCAUAGCUGGUCUGAGAGGAUGAUCAGCCACACUGGGACUGAGACACGGCCCAGACUCCUACGGGAGGCAGCAGUGGGGAAUAUUGGAUAGUGGGCGCAAGCCUGAUCCAGCCAUGCCGCGUGAGUGAUGAAGGCCCUAGGGUUGUAAAGCUCUUUCACCGGUGAAGAUAAUGACGGUAACCGGAGAAGAAGCCCCGGCUAACUUCGUGCCAGCAGCCGCAGUAAAAC